rnacentral:rRNA from 1 species
UGGGGAAUUUUAGACAAUGGGCGAAAGCCUGAUCCAGCAAUGCCGCGUGUGUGAAGAAGGCCUUCGGGUUGUAAAGCACUUUUGUCCGGAAAGAAAUCCUUGGCUCUAAUACAGUCGGGGGAUGACGGUACCGGAAGAAUAAGCACCGGCUAACUACGUGCCAGCAGCCGCGGUAAUACGUAGGGUGCAAGCGUUAAUCGGAAUUACUGGGCGUAAAGCGUGCGCAGGCGGUUUGCUAAGACCGAUGUGAAAUCCCCGGGCUCAACCUGGGAACUGCAUUGGUGACUGGCAGGCUAGAGUAUGGCAGAGGGGGGUAGAAUUCCACGUGUAGCAGUGAAAUGCGUAGAGAUGUGGAGGAAUACCGAUGGCGAAGGCAGCCCCCUGGGCCAAUACUGACGCUCAUGCACGAAAGCGUGGGGAGCAAACAGGAUUAGAUACCCUGGUAGUCCACGCCCUAAACGAUGUCAACUAGUUGUUGGGGAUUCAUUUCCUUAGUAACGUAGCUAACGCGUGAAGUUGACCGCCUGGGGAGUACGGUCGCAAGAUUAAAACUCAAAUGAAUUGACGGGGUCAUA